CUCCCUGCAGGGCGGCGUGCGUGAGAGGCACUGCGCGGGAACGAGUGCGAGGCGCGGAGACAGUGUAAGGGCUGGAUUCCAAUUGUCGCUGUUUACCAAGUCUCCAUAACAUGAACGGCAGUAGGAAUUUUACAUGAGCAGUCUUCUCACUGGGGACAUUUGGAACUCAAAAGUCCAUUUCUACAGACCAAGGGCUGACUUGACUCCCGUGAGAGAACUAAUGUGUCUACCAAAUAAUUUUUCUUUAAGGCCUCUGAUGGCUCUCACUGUGCUUAGGUGAAAUCCAAGCCCCUUCCUGUGGUCCCUGAGGCUCUGAGUCAGCCCCUCCACCUAGUGCUGUCUGACCUCCAGACCCCAGGCCCCCCCAGCUCCUCCUGCUCUGCCCACAGGCCCUUCAGCCUGCAGUGCUUCCCCUGCUCUGAGUCUUACUCUUCCUCCACCCCAGGUGUUGUGCCCUAGGUGCUCUCACAGCUUCCCAUUCAGAAUCAUUGCCCCGCUCCUCUUUCUCACCCCACCUUUCAACUUGCCAUUAAUGGCACUUUUUCAACAUACAAUCAUACAAUUUUUGGUGUGAUUAUUUGUUGACUGUGCCCAUUCAUCCCACAGCUCCAUUUUUUUCAUUUUCUGUAUCCAGUGUUUUUCUGGCAGAGAAUUGGGGGUGCUUAAGGUAUUUGGAGGGACAAUUCUUUCUUGCCCCAUAUGUUAAUCAGAUUAUGCCUUGAUGAUGAUGCCUAGCAAACAACCUCUAAAUCUCAGUGCUCACAACACUGAUAGCCAUCCGUAUGUCUGGCUGGGCUGGGUUUGGCCAGGCUCAGAUCUGCUCCCUUCUCUCACAUCUGGAGCUCUUUCGAGGACCCAGACAGAGGGAGCAAUGGCUGCUUGAGUGCAUGCUUUUCAUGAUGGAUGACACAGAAGAGUGAGAAGAACAGAGGAUUCGUCUUAACACCUUCAUUUAGAAAUGGCACAGUCUCUCCUUCCCACAUUCCUCUGGUCAAAGCAAAUCACAUGAAAAAGUCAGUGGGUGAGGUGCUGAGCUCCUCCUGAAGCAUGCAACCCUCAUUCUUCAAUCAUGGAGCAUGUAGCCCUCAUUUUUAAUCUGUUAACCCUGUUCUAUAUCCCUGAAUAAGCAGUUACAAGCUAGAGCCAGGAAAUAGCCAACCAUAACGGUUAAACAAUGCUUGUUUCGGCUUCUGCACAUGGCUUCGCUAGGUUCCCACCCCUCUCCAUGCCAACCAGGAUGCAGUUUUGCCUUUAUAUUCUCCCCGUGAAGACUGUUCAGGGCUGCGAGUUUGUUUAGGACAGGAGUCUGCUCACAGUUGCCGGCUAAAUAAAUUCCAAACUUUCAA